CAGGCAGGUGACCUUCUACCAGCCAAUCUUCCGAUCAAUCUUCCUCACCGCAACAAAUUGGCACAAAAGUAACAACCCAACAAGGAGGAAAAGGUUAUAAAUCAACAACAGCCAUGGAAGUUGGAAUUUCUGACUGUUCAGCCUCGGCAUGGACCUCAACCUGAGUGUGAACCAAAGAUGCGGCUUGAGCCUGAGUCUCCUGUUGCUGCUCCAUAAAUCGGCUCAUGCGCUCGAGCAACUGCACCGCCUUUCUCUUGCCCCUGUCUGUGCCAUUUAUUGCAAGCUCGCGCAAGGGUCCUAACACUCCGCAGUUCUGUGCCAUGGCUAGAUAAUGGUACUGCUGCUCCCCACCACAUAGAUGCAGCAGAACAGCUGCUCCAUUCUCUCUAUUCCUGGGGGAUCCACUUCUGAUCACCUCCACCAGCACUGGCACAGCCUCGGCAGCUCCAAUUGCAAGCUUCCCCUCAGGGUGACUUGACAGUAUUGCUAGUAUAGCCAGCGCUUCAUCCACCAUCCCUCCUGCAGGCUCUAUUACAAGUCCCAUUAGUAAUGGAACCACGCCGGCUCUCACAGCCUUUCCCUUAUUCCCCUGGUAUAUGCACAGGUUAAAAAGUGCUGUUGCCGCAUCCUUCUUGCCUCUCUGGGUGCCUUCACUCAGCAGAGAUACAAGUGCUGGAAUUGCCCCUGAUGCCCCAAUGGUUACUUUAUUUUCAUCUACAAUAGAUAGGCUGAAAAGUGUGGCUGCAGCAUUCUCCCUUGCUUCCAUGCUACCAUUCCUUAGCACAUGCACAAUUCCAGGCACAGCUCCUGAAGCGAUAAUGUUUGCCUUGUUCUCCUCACAGAUGGAGAGAUUCAGAAGUGCAGUAACUGCAUGCUCCUGGGUGCGUGGGUCAACUGUGGCAAGUAGAUUUAUGAGGCGAGGGACAGCACCUGCCUCAGCUAUACAGAUGCGGUUGUCAGCAUUGCGCUUGGCUAAAAGACGAAGUUCUCCAGCAGCUGAUCUUUGGUCUUCAAGAUUAGGGGAGGAUAACUUGCAGAGAAGUGCAUCUAUAUUAGCCCGUUCACUUGAGGAGCAGGCUGAGGUGGGCUUACUAGGCUGAGUAGGGCGCUUGGGUGGCUCCACACCAUUGGCUUCACACCAAUGAGCUAUAAGGCUGCGGAGGACAUAAUUUGGAGUUAUUGACAUGUUGGACAGCCUCUGCUGCGUCUUUGGGCAUGUGUCAUGCCCAGAGGCCAACCACUUCUCAAUGCAUGCACGCUCAUAUGUCUGUAGAUAGAAAAUACAAUAAAAGGAACGCAAUGAAUCUUGAUAAUGAUAGGGCGGGGGGAAAAAAUCGGGAUCGAGCAGGUACCUGUCCGGUGGCCACGAUGACCGGAUCGCUCAUCAGAUCUAGGGAUAUUGGACAUCGGAAGUCAUCUGGAAUCACCAGAGCUUUAGGGUUUCCCUCAGAAAGAAAUUUAGAAUUUGCUGGAGUGCCCAUUUCAGGGUUCUGGGUCUGCACAAAAUCCUUAAUCUUCUUUAGCGACAUUGACAUCUUCUCGAUGUUUGCUCCAGGAUCUCCACCUCCACUGGCAACCACCAUCUCAUGCAAGGCUAAUGAUUCUUGUUUGAGAUCAUAGAUAGUCGUCAAUUGUAAUUUUCCCGCUAACCUUCCUAGAAUAGUUGGUUCUGCACUUGCAUCAGUGCUCUUGUUGUAUAGGGAUAAAAGAUCAACAUAUAGCUCAGGAUCAGGC
rnacentral:lncRNA from 1 species